AAAGAAGACUUAAUAUAUGAAGUCUCUUGUUGGGUAAGAUUAAGACAGUAUUUUAAAAAGAUAAUUGAAAUUAAGCAUAAGAUGUUCUCAACAUAAGGUUAGUAAGUUCAGAAUGUACUUUACAUGGAAAAUGCUAGGGUGAUGCCAAACUUGCCUGUCCUGAAAGCGUUCUCUAGUCUCCUAUUAGUGAAUAAACUUCUUAGAACUCACUGUAAAAUUUGGAAAGCAGCUUUUUUAAAAUCAACCAAAAACCUUGUUUCCAUUUGCUGGAGUACAUUUUGAUAAAUACUAUUUUAUAUGAUCAGACAUACAUGGGCGUUAUGCCUUGUGUUUCUCCCCUGAGAAUAUCCUCAUUUGGUCUUGCUGUGUGAAUACCUAGAGUCCUGUAUAAUUUUAUCAUGUUCCAGGGAAAACAGCUUUUUUUUUUUUCCUUUUAAAUUGUUACUAUAAAGGUGAUAUAUAAAGGGGUGGAAAGCAGGUUUUUAUUCAACAGAAAGAAAUCAUGGUUGGAUAUUUUUUUGUGCUUUUUUUUUUUAAUUUGGGGGAUUUAAAUUUAAAGAUAUUGAUAAGAAUAAGUGAGGGCAAAUGGAAAUGAGGAUUCCCCCCCCCUUCUCCCCUUCCCCCCUUCAACCUUCAACAAAAAGAUCUUCAGAAUCGCCUUUCUACCUAAGCAGUUCCUACAUAGAAAUACUUUCAAGAAUGUAGGGCUGCCAUCCGCAUGCCUUGGUCGGAGGGCUUUCUAGAAAGGAUGGGGGUUCUUUUCCCACACCUAGGAACUGUGUCAAUCCUAGAGGGACUAGAGAGUUUAUGUUGUCGUAGGACACAAGUCUACACAAAGCCUGCAGAAUUGGAGUACCAAUCUUAGAAUAAUAGUAGCUCUUGUUGAAAGCAUAAAAUCUGGCCUAUUAGCAUUAGCUCUUAAGUAUUCAUUUUUAUUCUACCAAGUAGAACUGUCACUGCAUUCCUUUCUCAGUUAACAGUUAACAAAAGCCCUGCACCAAAAAAAAAAAGAAUCGUGACUCUUGCUUGGCUUUGAUUUUGCUGCCCAGAAUGAUACCUCUUAAGUUUAAAACAUCUUCACCAUGCUUAUUUUUGGAAGUACUCAGCUAAAAACAAA